CACGUAGGGGGCGAGCGUUGUCCGGAUUCAUUGGGCGUAAAGCGCGCGCAGGCGGCUUGGAAAGUCGGGUGUGAAAACUCGGGGCUCAACCCCGGGCGUGCAUCCGAUACUGCCAGGCUUGAGGCAGGUAGGGGAGAUCGGAAUUCCUGGUGUAGCGGUGAAAUGCGCAGAUAUCAGGAGGAACACCGGUGGCGAAGGCGGAUCUCUGGGCCUGUCCUGACGCUGAGACGCGAAAGCGUGGGGAGCGAACAGG
rnacentral:rRNA from 1 species